GGGAGACCGAACGAGUCCACAUACUGCUUCCGACUGCUUGCCCCGCCGACGAGAGUCUGGAAAAUGUUGAACGCACACGAUCAACGCCAGGAGUGACGACGGCUGCUGACCAAACCAUCGAGAGGCCCGCAAUAAUGAAGAUAUCGUUUUUGGCCGCAACAAUAAUAGGCCGAGGCAGAGUUAUGUAUGUAUACCGCAUUCAACGUCAUCGCGGGGCUUUUGCACGCUGGACAACGGCCGCAGCAGCAGCGGCAGCAGCAGCAAAAAAGAAAAGAAGGAGAGGAAAAAAACUCUCUCUCUCUCCUGAUCCAGUUGAAUUUAUCUGGCUGAAAAUUUAAGGCGUCACGGGAUAUUAGCCGAGGAACAUAUAUCUGAAAGCAGCAGUAGCAGCAGUACUACAGGGACAAAUGAAAGAUGUGCUCUCCAGACAAUUGCUCGAACUCUGAUAGCAGCUAGCUCGAAGCUGCCUUGCAUCGCAGAUACAUCAUCAAGAGACAACUGUACUUUAUACUCUCGUACUGUGCAUCGGCCGUUGUUCAAGUAUAUUUCACAUAAAGUAGGCUUUGUUGCUCCAAGUAAUACAUACAGUGUGUAACGAUUUUAAGUUCUUACGCGGUCCGCGCUGAAUGCAAUAAAGAACGUGUGUGGUGUGGCUUGCGUCGAGUCGCAACGAGCCUCUGUAAUAGUGCAACAUGACUUAAUCAAUUUUUAUUAGCUGCAGGGCCGAAAUGAACGACAUAAUGAUGAUUAUAUAGAGCA